rfam:Bacillus coagulans 36D1, complete genome.
UGUGAAAAGAAGGAGCAGCCCGCUUCUCACCUGUUGACGCAAUGGUGCAGUUGUCAGGUAUCUAUCAAUGAUCGUGAUCAUAAGCGCGGGUGUGUUCCCUGCGCUUUUUUUCGUGU